GACCUUUGUGGCGCAGUUAACGCGAUAAGUCGACCGCCUGGGGAGUACGGCCGCAAGGUUAAAACUCAAAUGAAUUGACGGGGGCCCGCACAAGCGGUGGAGCAUGUGGUUUAAUUCGAUGCAACGCGAAGAACCUUACCUACUCUUGACAUCGAGCGAACUUUCCAGAGAUGGAUUGGUGCCUUCGGGAACGCUCAGACAGGUGCUGCAUGGCCGUCGUCAGCUCGUGUUGUGAAAUGUUGGGUUAAGUCCCGUAACGAGCGCAACCCUUGUCCCUAUUUGCCAGCGAUUCGGUCGGGAACUCUAGGGAGACUGCCGGUGACAAACCGGAGGAAGGUGGGGACGACGUCAGGUCAUCAUGGCCCUUACGAGUAGGGCUACACACGUGCUACAAUGGCCGGUACAAUGGGCUGC
rnacentral:rRNA from 1 species